AACGAACGCUGGCGGCAGGCUUAACACAUGCAAGUCGAACGCGUGUAGCAAUACACGAGUGGCGCACGGGUGAGUAACACGUGGAUAUCUGCCUUUUGGUUCGGAAUAACUCCGGGAAACUGGAGCUAAUACCGGAUGGUUCCUACGGGAUAAAGAUUUAUCGCCAAAAGAUGAGUCCGCGCACGAUUAGCUAGUUGGUGAGGUAAUGGCUCACCAAGGCGACGAUCGAUAGCUGGUCUGAGAGGACGAUCAGCCACACUGGGACUGAGACACGGCCCAGACUCCUACGGGAGGCAGCAGUGGGGAAUAUUGGACAAUGGGCGCAAGCCUGAUCCAGCCAUGCCGCGUGAGUGAUGAAGGCCUUAGGGUUGUAAAGCUCUUUCGUCCGGGACGAUAAUGACGGUACCGGAAGAAGAAGCCCCGGCUAACUUCGUGCCAGCAGCAGCCGCAGUAACAC
rnacentral:rRNA from 1 species